GACGAACGCUGGCGGCGUGCUUAACACAUGCAAGUCGAACGGAAAGGCCCUGCUUUUGUGGGGUGCUCGAGUGGCGAACGGGUGAGUAACACGUGAGUAACCUGCCCUUGACUUUGGGAUAACUUCAGGAAACUGGGGCUAAUACCGGAUAGGAGCUCCUGCUGCAUGGGGGGGGUUGGAGAGUUUCGGCGGUUGGGGAUGGACUCGCGGCUUAUCAGCUUGUUGGUGGGGUAGUGGCUUACCAAGGCUUUGACGGGUAGCCGGCCUGAGAGGGUGACCGGCCACAUUGGGACUGAGAAACGGCCCAGACUCCUACGGGAGGCAGCAGUGGGGAAUAUUGCACAAUGGGCGGAAGCCGGAUGCAGCAACUCCGCGUGCGGGAUGACGGCCUUCGGGUUGUAACCCGCUUUCGCCUGUGACGCAGCGUGAGUGACGGUAAUGGGUAAAGAAGCACCGGCUAACUACGUG
rnacentral:rRNA from 1 species